rnacentral:tRNA from 2 species
GCAGUCGUGGCCGAGUGGUUAAGGCGAUGGACUCGAAAUCCAUUGGGGUCUCCCCGCAAAAAUUCGAAUCCCGUCGACUGCG